CAGCAGCCGCGGUAAUACGUAGGGUGCGAGCGUUAAUCGGAUUUACUUGGCGUAAAGCGUGCGCAGGCGGCCCGUUAAGACAGGUGUGAAAUCCCUGGGCUCAACCUAGGAAUUGCGCUUGUGACUGGCGGGCUCGAGUACGGUAGAGGGGGGUGGAAUUCCUGGUGUAGCAGUGAAAUGCGUAGAGAUCAGGAGGAACACCGAUGGCGAAGGCAGCCCCCUGGGCCUGUACUGACGCUCAUGCACGAAAGCGUGGGGAGCAAACAGGAUUAGAUACCCUGGUAGUCCACGCCCUAAACGAUGGGUACUAGCCGUUUGGUGCGCGAUAGCGCUGAGUGGCGAAGCUAACGCGUGAAGUACCCCGCCUGGGGAGUACGGCCGCAAGGUUGAAACUUAAAGGAAUUGGCGGG
rnacentral:rRNA from 1 species